rfam:Camelus ferus unplaced genomic scaffold scaffold2748, whole genome shotgun sequence.
GAGGGUAUAGCUCAGUGGUAGGGUGUAUGCUUAGCCUGUAUGAGGUCCUGGGUUUAAUCUCCAGUACCUCCA